rnacentral:rRNA from 1 species
GAUGAACGCUGGCGGCGUGCCUAAUACAUGCAAGUCGAGCGAACGGACGAGAAGCUUGCUUCUCUGAUGUUAGCGGCGGACGGGUGAGUAACACGUGGAUAACCUACCUAUAAGACUGGGAUAACUUCGGGAAACCGGAGCUAAUACCGGAUAAUAUUUUGAACCGCAUGGUUCAAAAGUGAAAGACGGUCUUGCUGUCACUUAUAGAUGGAUCCGCGCUGCAUUAGCUAGUUGGUAAGGUAACGGCUUACCAAGGCAACGAUGCAUAGCCGACCUGAGAGGGUGAUAGGCCACACUGGAACUGAGACACGGUCCAGACUCCUACGGGAGGCAGCAGUAGGGAAUCUUCCGCAAUGGGCGAAAGCCUGACGGAGCAACGCCGCGUGAGUGAUGAAGGUCUUCGGAUCGUAAAACUCUGUUAUUAGGGAAGAACAUAUGUGUAAGUAACUGUGCACAGCUUGACGGUACCUAAUCAAAAAGCCACGGCUAACUACGUG